AGCGUGUCUGUCACUGUCAUUCACCAUCGCUAUGAAGGGCAUUGCUGCUUUGGCCAUCUUUGCUCUGGCAGCCACUGCAUGGGCUGCCUGUCCAGCGGCCAAAGGGACAGAGGUGGACUGUUCCCAAUACUAUGGUCAAGGUGCAAGGAUUAUAUGCCCAUUGAUUUUCAGACCAAUAUGUGGCACAGAUCAG